UACACUCCUGCGGGAGGCAGCAGUGGGGAAUAUUGCACAAUGGGCGCAAGCCUGAUGCAGCGACGCCGCGUGGGGGAUGAAGGCCUUCGGGUUGUAAACUCCUUUCGCUAGGGACGAAGCUUUUUUGUGACGGUACCUAGAUAAGAAGCACCGGCUAACUACGUGCCAGCAGCCGCGGUAAUACGUAGGGUGCGAGCGUUGUCCGGAAUUACUGGGCGUAAAGGGCUCGUAGGUGGUUUGUCGCGUCGUCUGUGAAAUUCUGGGGCUUAACUCCGGGCGUGCAGGCGAUACGGGCAUAACUUGAGUGCUGUAGGGGUAACUGGAAUUCCUGGUGUAGCGGUGAAAUGCGCAGAUAUCAGGAGGAACACCGAUGGCGAAGGCAGGUUACUGGGCAGUUACUGACGCUGAGGAGCGAAAGCAUGGGUAGCGAACAGGAUUAGAUACCCCUGUAGUCCCAUG
rnacentral:rRNA from 1 species